AUGGACAAGCUGUGUUCAACUCUGCUGCUGCUGACUCUCCCUGCCUGGUUCCUGUCCCAGGUCACAUUAAAGGAGUCUGGACCUUGCUGUUCCCACCAUCUCAGAUCCUGAAGCUGACCUGCUCCUUCUCUGGCUUCUCACUGUCCACUACUAACAUUGGUGUGAGCUGGAUUCGUCAGCCCCCAGGGAAGACCCUGGAGUGGCUGGCAAACAUUUGGUGGGAUGAUGAUAAAUACUAUAACCCAGCACUUAAGAGCCGACUCACCAUUUCCAAGGACAGCUCCAACAGCCAAGUGUUCCUCACAAUGACCACCACAGAGGCUGCAGACACAGCCAUCUAUUAUUGUGCUCGAAACCACAGUGACUUGGCAUCAGGUGCCUCCUGCACAAGAUCCCAGGCUGCUCCUCUGUGCUCUGUUCAGAGUGAGUCUGUUCCCUCCUCUGUGUAA